GUCAGAAAUGGCGAACUCACUUCAACUUCCGGUCAUCGACCUUUGUUCGCCGGACCGCACCGCCACCGCUCGUGAGAUACGCCGGGCAUGUAUAGAUUACGGUUUCUUCUACCUGAUAAACCACGGAGUAGAACAAACCCUAUUCCGGCAGGUUUUCGAACAGAGCAGGCGGUUUUUCUCGCUGCCGAUCGAAGAGAAGAUGAAGCUUGAUCGCAAGCAAAACAGAGGUUACACUCCUCUUUAUGCUGAGAAGCUGGAUACUUCUUCGAGUUGCAAAGGUGACUUGAAGGAAACCUUCCAUAUUGGUGCCUUGGAACACAGUGAUUUGAACCAGUGGCCUUCUGAAGGCGUUCUGCCAUCGUGGAAAGCAACAAUGGAAGAUUACUAUGAAAGAGUGUUGAAUGCUGGAAAGAAACUAGUUUCAUUGAUUGCCCUAGCACUGAACUUGGAUGAAGACUUCUUUGAUAAAGCUGUUGCAUUUAAUCCUCCAGAUGGUUUCCUCCGCCUGUUACACUAUCCAGCCGUGCCAAGUCCAUUGGAAUCUCCAGAUCAAGUAAUAUAUGGUGCUUCAGCUCAUUCAGACUAUGGAAUGAUUACUCUUCUAGCGACAGAUGGAGUGCCGGGGUUGCAGGUUUGCAGGGAGAAAUUUAGACAACCACAGAUAUGGGAAGAUGUGCCUAAUCUUAGUGGGGCUUUCAUUGUUAACAUCGGAGAUAUGACUGAGAGGUGGACAAACUGUCUGUUUCAAUCAACAUUGCAUAGAGUGGUGCCAACUGGAUCUGAACGUUAUUCGGUAACCAAGAUUUCUUCACAUUUUUGGCUUUCUUUUCACAUCUUUGCCCUCCCGUAUUAUGACCUUCACAUGUUUUCUAAAGCUCGUGUUACAUGGUUAAGUCAAACGAAAAAAGAAAAGUUCUCUGCUAGUGUCUCAAUCUACAUGAAGAGACCAAAAUUGAGAACGCAAUGCGGUUUUUUCCUUCUAGGUAGCUUUCUUUAUAGAUCCUAAUCCAGAUUGUUUGGUGGAAUGUCUGGAGAGUUGCUGCAGCAAGUCAUCUCCUUGCAGAUUCCCUCCUAUUCGCUCCGGGGACUACUUGGAGGAGCGAUACAGGCUCACAUAUGGUUCAUAGUGUAAUGAACACAUAACGGUUCGUGCAGAUUCUCGUCACACUUCACAUCUGCUGCUGGAAAUAUCGAAUGUUGUUCAAGAAUAAACAUUUUCAUCCAUAUAUUUUUAUAUUUCUGAACCAUUUUUUUAAUGCGUGGAUAUGUAUUAUUAAUUGUAAGAACUCCGGACAAGAAUCCGUAUCUAUAGCCUAUAGGCUAGUUUUUAAUUUUCCAUUCUUUUUUUUUUAUGGUGCACGAAUUAAAUUUCACUCUUGUAUAAUUAUUUUGAAGAAAUAAAUUAUUAGGAAGAUCCUAUUGCGCAA